rnacentral:rRNA from 1 species
GCAGUCGAGCGAACAGACGAGGAGCUUGCUCCUCUGACGUUAGCGGCGGACGGGUGAGUAACACGUGGAUAACCUACCUAUAAGACUGGGAUAACUUCGGGAAACCGGAGCUAAUACCGGAUAAUAUAUUGAACCGCAUGGUUCAAUAGUGAAAGACGGUUUUGCUGUCACUUAUAGAUGGAUCCGCGCCGCAUUAGCUAGUUGGUAAGGUAACGGCUUACCAAGGCAACGAUGCGUAGCCGACCUGAGAGGGUGAUCGGCCACACUGGAACUGAGACACGGUCCAGACUCCUACGGGAGGCAGCAGUAGGGAAUCUUCCGCAAUGGGCGAAAGCCUGACGGAGCAACGCCGCGUGAGUGAUGAAGGUCUUCGGAUCGUAAAACUCUGUUAUUAGGGAAGAACAAAUGUGUAAGUAACUAUGCACGUCUUGACGGUACCUAAUCAGAAAGCCACGGCUAACUACGUGCCAGCAGCCGCGGUAAUACGUAGGUGGCAAGCGUUAUCCGGAAUUAUUGGGCGUAAAGCGCGCGUAGGCGGUU